CCAGACUCCUACGGGAGGCAGCAGUGGGGAAUAUUGCACAAUGGGGGAAACCCUGAUGCAGCAACGCCGCGUGAGUGAAGAAGUAUUUCGGUAUGUAAAGCUCUAUCAGCAGGGAAGAAAAUGACGGUACCUGAGUAAGAAGCCCCGGCUAACUACGUGCCAGCAGCCGCGGUAAUACGUAGGGGGCAAGCGUUAUCCGGAUUUACUGGGUGUAAAGGGAGCGUAGACGGCGAUACAAGUCUGAAGUGAAAGCCCGGGGCUCAACCCCGGGACUGCAUUGGGAACUGGCGCGCUGGAGUGCCGGAGGGGUAGGCGGAAUUCCUAGUGUAGCGGUGAAAUGCGUAGAUAUUAGGAGGAACACCAGUGGCGAAGGCGGCCUACUGGACGGUGACUGACGCUGAGGCUCGAAAGCGUGGGGAGCAAACAGGAUUAGAUACCCCAGUACAC
rnacentral:rRNA from 1 species